rnacentral:misc_RNA from 1 species
CCGUCAAUUCAUUUGAGUUUCACACUUGCGUGCGUACUCCCCAGGCGGAUCACUUAUCGCGUUAGCUUGGGCGCUGAGGUUCGACCCCCAACACCUAGUGAUCAUCGUUUACGGCGUGGACUACCAGGGUAUCUAAUCCUGUUUGCUCCCCACGCUUUCGCGCUUUAGCGUCAGUAUCUGUCCAGUGAGCUGACUUCUCCAUCGGCAUUCCUACAAAUAUCUACGAAUUUCACCUCUACACUUGUAGUUCCGCCCACCUCUCCAGUACUCUAGAAAAACAGUUUCCAACGCAAUACGGAGUUGAGCCCCGCAUUUUAACAUCAGACUUAUUUUUCCGCCUAGACGCGCUUUACGCCCAAUAAAUCCGGAUAACGCUUGCGACAUACGUAUUACCGCGGCG